rnacentral:rRNA from 1 species
AUUGAACGCUGGCGGCAGGCCUAACACAUGCAAGUCGAGCGGAGCGGCGGACGGGUGCGUAAUGCCUAGGAAUCUGCCUGGUAGUGGGGGAUAACGUCCGGAAACGGGCGCUAAUACCGCAUACUAUCAGAUGAGCCUAGGUCGGAUUAGCUAGUUGGUGGGGUAAAGGCCUACAAAGGCGACGAUCCGUAACUGGUCUGAGAGGAUGAUCAGUCACACGGGAACUGGGAAACGGUCCAGACCCUUACGGGAGGCAGCGGUGGGGAUGAUUGGACAAGGGGCGAAAGCCGGAUCCAGCCAUGCCGGGUGUGGGAAGAAGGUUUUGGGAUUGUAAAGCACUUUAAGUUGGGAGGCGUUACCGACAGAAUAAGCACCGGCUAACUUCGUGCCAGCCCCGCGGUAAUUC